UACGUAGGGCGCGAGCGUUGUCCGGAAUUAUUGGGCGUAAAGAGCUCGUAGGCGGCCUGUCGCGUCCGCUGUGAAAACCCGGGGCUUAACCCCCGGGCCUGCAGUGGAUACGGGCAGGCUGGAGGCAGGCAGGGGAGACUGGAAUUCCUGGUGUAGCGGUGAAAUGCGCAGAUAUCAGGAGGAACACCGGUGGCGAAGGCGGGUCUCUGGGCCGAUACUGACGCUGAGGAGCGAAAGCGUGGGGAGCGAACAGG
rnacentral:rRNA from 1 species